rnacentral:lncRNA from 1 species
UGUGCGGCCUUCCGCACCUCAAGCACCUUGAACUGCCUGAGCCAGAGCUCGAACCACCAAAACCCAAACUAGCCUUCAAAUUCUGCCAAAACUUCUUCUGCGACUUCCUGAGACCUCUCUUCCAUUUCUUACCUCUCGUGGCAGCUGUACUCAGAGUGGAGGGAUCAAUCCCUCCUGAACCUGAAAUCCUAGAAUCCUGAGUCUGAGCAUCCUCCUGAGAAUCUCCCAUACCUUCCUCUGGCACUCUGAUUCCCAAACUGACAU